rnacentral:rRNA from 1 species
UGUCUAUUAAUUGUAGACCUGUAUGAAAGGCAAAAUGAGGGUUUAACUGUCUCUUAUAGUAAAUCAAUUAAACUGAUCUCCCAGUAAAAAAGCUGGUAUACCCACAUAAGACCAGAAGACCCUGUGAAGCUUAAACUAAACUAUUAACCCUUAUAAUAGCUACUUUCGGUUGGGGCGACCUUGGAAAAAAAAAGAACUUCCAAACACAAUGAUUAUAAUUCAUCCACCUCCCAGGCUAACAAGCCUAUAAACGACCCAGCACAGCUGAGUAUUGAACCAAGUUACUCCAGGGAUAACAGCGCUAUCUUCUUCAAGAGCCCAUAUCAAAAAGAAGGUUUACGACCUCGAUGUUGGAUCAGGACAUCCUAAUGGUGCA